GUCCGGGGCUGCGGGAGCCCACGCGGGCUGAGAGGGGGACGAGGUCCCCGACCGCCAACAGCUGAUCCGGGUCAUGCCGGCGAAGCGAGACCGACCGUGAACGA
rnacentral:ncRNA from 1 species